CCUAUACCGUUCUUUCUUUUUUCACGUUCGUUCGUUCAUCUUCUUCAUACCUGUUCGUUCUGGAGGAGUUUUUAAAAAAAGAAUUCCAAGUGAAAAAUUAAACCACAUUGUCUCUCGAAUAUAUUUUUGCACGUUGACAUGGCGAAAUGAGCACCCGACAUCUUGUUUCUCCUCUUCUUCCUCCUUUCGAGCGUGAAUCAUCUGACAAGCCGAUUCAUUUAACAACAACCAAAAAGAAACGUAUAGAAAAUUCGUCAGCAUCAUGAAAUCGUGAAAAACCGCGGAUCGGGUUUUUCGUCAUCGUUUUCCCAGAAAACCAAAAAAGAAGAGAAUAAUCAAAAUAAUAAAA